rnacentral:rRNA from 1 species
GCCUACGGGGCGCAGCAGUGAGGAAUAUUGGUCAAUGGCCGAGAGGCUGAACCAGCCAAGUCGCGUGAGGGAUGACGGCCCUACGGGUUGUAAACCUCUCUUGUCGGGGAGCAAGACCCGCCUCGUGCAGGCGGAGCGAGAGUACCCGAAGAAAAAGCAUCGGCUAACUCCGUGCCAGCAGCCGCGGUAAUACGGAGGAUGCGAGCGUUAUCCGGAUUUAUUGGGUUUGAAGGGUGCGCAGGCGGACCAUCAAGUCAGCGGUAAAAUCGUGGGGCCCAACCCCUUCCCGCCGUUGAAACUGGCGG